rnacentral:SRP_RNA from 1 species
GCUGGGCACAGUGGCAAGUGCGUGUAGUUCCAGCUACUGGGGAGGCUGAUGCGGGAGGAUGGCUUGAGUCCAGCUCUGGGCUGUGGUGCUCUAUGCCCAUCGGGUGUCCGCACUAAUUCUGGCAUCAGUAUGGUGGUGACCUCCGGGAGCUGGCAUCUACCAGGUUGCCUGAGGAGGGGUGAAUUAGCCCAAGUCAGAAACCAAGCAGGUCAAAACUCCCAUUUCCACUCAUUUGUUCAACAAAUACUUGUUAGUAGCUAGAACGAUAGCACUUGGCACUGAAGAUGCAGAGAUGAAUUA